rnacentral:rRNA from 1 species
GACGAACGCUGGCGGCGUGCUUAACACAUGCAAGUCGAACGGAAAGGCCCUGCUUUUGUUGGGUGCUCGAGUGGCGAACGGGUGAGUAACACGUGAGUAACCUGCCCUUGACUUUGGGAUAACUUCAGGAAACUGGGGCUAAUACCGGAUAGGAGCUCCUGCUGCAUGGUGGGGGUUGGAAAGUUUCGUCGGUUGGGGAUGGACUCGCGGCUUAUCAGCUUGUUGGUGGGGUAGUGGCUUACCAAGGCUUUGCCGGGUAGCCGGCCUGAGAGGGUGACCGGACACAUUGGGACUGAGAUACGGCCCAGACUCCUACGGGAGGCAGCAGUGGGGAAUAUUGCACAACGGGCGGAAGCCUGCUGCAGCAACGCCGCGUGCGGGAUGACGGCCUUCGGGUUGUAAACCGCUUUCGCCUGUGACGAAGCGUGAGUGACGGUAAUGGGUAAAGAAGCACCGGCUAACUACGUG